GACAUGUGUAGCACUACAUUGUGCCCCAUGAGUGGUGAACCCAGAGAGAGCCAGCAGCAUUAACAGCAGGGUCGGUGAUGGUAAGUAAGAAGAAACAAUUAAGGCUUUUCCCAUCCUCACUAUGUUCCUGUAAACCUUAAAGAUAUUAUAAAACCAGCAGGGAGUGGCUACAAUGAAAGUACAGAACACAGUCAGGCCCUGUGGGAAAAAAAGAUGCCAAUCAGAUCAUUGCCCCAAAGGAUAAUCCCCAGUUGUCACAUUAAAAGAAAUGUAAAAGGAAAUCUGUAGAAAAUCUAUAUUAUGCUCAAAAAUCAUGUGAUCUUCAGUAUAGCUUCAGAGGCAAUAACAUCACACAUUAGUUUGAAUGUAGUUUGCACAGGCAGUCUGUACGCGUAUUAACUCCCUGCACAGAGCGCUGUGCUUGAAAUUCACACGGCUUCAUCUUUUAAUUUUGAUUCCCAGAUUUGAAUUGUGAUUCACUGAACAGGGUCCAGACUGCCAAAAAUUCUCCUUAGUUUACCAUAGGAUCAGCAAUUCACACAAUAAAAGUCAAUGAACAGUAAGGAAUGUUGCAGUUGUGAAUUCUCAGUAAAACAUAUCAAGGACAAGCUUUUUGUAGUUCCUUGCUUUUCUCUACAUACCUGAUUGUUAAAAACUUGGAUUCUAGCAUUUGAAAUAUGCAGAAAGCCGUAAGAGAAAACAAAAAAAUCUUUGAGUGAAGAAUGUAACAUU